ensembl:lncRNA
CAGUGUAACCAUCCUCCGUGUUUGUUGUGUUUACUAGUAAUACAUAGUGUAACCAUCCUCUGUUGUGUUGUUGUUUACUAGUAAUACACAGUGUAACCACCUCUGUUGUUGUUUUACUAGUAAUACAGUGUAACCAUCCUCUGUUGUUGUUUACUAGUAAUACAUAGUGUAACCAUCCUCUGUGUUGUUGUUUACUGGUAAUACAUAGUAUUACCAAAGAUUCCACAAUACUACAGCAGUAGUGUUGUACCUGUAUCCAUAACUAUAUUUAGUACUAUUAUUACCACUGAAAUGAACUGGAUUUCAAUAUCCUCAUAGCAUUGAGUUUCCUGAAACGCUGUACCACUAUACUGCUUUGGUA